rnacentral:tRNA from 1 species
GGCUCCAUAGUGUAGUGGUUAGCACGUUUGCUUUACAUGCAGAAGGUCCUGGGUUCGUGCCCCAGGUGGAGCCA